rnacentral:rRNA from 1 species
UACGUAGGGUGCGAGCAUUGUCCGGAAUUAUUGGGCGUAAAGAGCUCGUAGGCGGCUUGUCGCGUCGGAUGUGAAAGCCCGGGGCUUAACCCCGGGUCUGCAUUCGAUACGGGCAGGCUAGAGUUCGGUAGGGGAGUGUGGAAUUCCUGGUGUAGCGGUGAAAUGCGCAGAUAUCAGGAGGAACACCGGCGGCGAAGGCGGCACUCUGGGCCGGUACUGACGCUGAGGAGCGAAAGCGUGGGGAGCAAACAGG